rnacentral:tRNA from 1 species
CAGAGAAUAGUUUAAUAAAAAUAUUAAUUUUGGAGAUUAAUGAUAGAGGAAAUUUCUUUCUUUGA